rnacentral:rRNA from 1 species
GACGUAGGGCGCGAGCGUUGUCCGGAUUUAUUGGGCGUAAAGAGCUCGUAGGCGGCUCGUUGCGUCGGCUGUGAAAACCCGCAGCUCAACUGUGGGCUUGCAGCCGAUACGGGCGGGCUGGGAUUCGGUAGGGGAGACUGGAAUUCCUGGUGUAGCGGUGAAAUGCGCAGAUAUCAGGAGGAACACCAGCGGCGAAGGCGGUGCUCUGGGCCGGAACUGACACUGAGGAGCGAAAGCGUGGGUAGCAAACAGG